AUGUCCGGGCCAGCGCCCUGGUACAUCUUGGCGAUGAUGGGGUUGCAGACGCCCUCCAGCUCCUUCAUCUUGUCCUCCAACUCGUCCGCCUCCGCCAGCUGGUUGGCGUCGAGCCAGCCGAUGGCGCCGUCGAUCGCCUCCUCGAUCCUCUUCUUGUCGUCGGCGGGGAGCUUGGACGCGAUCUUGUCGUCCCUGACGGUGUUCCUCAUGUUGUAG
rnacentral:rRNA from 1 species